CAGGGGAUAACAUUUGGAAACAAGUGCUAAUACCGUAUAAUACCAACAACCGCAUGGUUGUUGGUUCCAAGAUGGUUCUGCUAUCACUAAGAGAUGGACCCGCGGUGCAUUAGCUAGUUGGUAAGGUAACGGCUUACCAAGGCAAUGAUGCAUAGCCGAGUUGAGAGACUGAUCGGCCACAAUGGGACUGAGACACGGCCCAUACUCCUACGGGAGGCAGCAGUAGGGAAUCUUCCACAAUGGGCGCAAGCCUGAUGGAGCAACGCCGCGUGUGUGAUGAAGGGUUUCGGCUCGUAAAACACUGUUAUAAGAGAAGAACGGCACUGAGAGUAACUGUUCAGUGUGUGACGGUAUCUUACCAGAAAGGAACGGCUAAAUACGUGCCAGCAGCCGCGGUAAUACGUAUGUUCCAAGCGUUAUCCGGAUUUAUUGGGCGUAAAGCGAGCGCAGACGGUUAUUUAAGUCUGAAGUGAAAGCCCUCAGCUCAACUGAGGAAUGGCUUUGGAAACUGGAUGACUUGAGUGCAGUGGAGGAAAGUGGAACUCCAUGUGUAGCGGUGAAAUGCGUAGAUAUAUGGAAGAACACCAGUGGCGAAGGCGGCUUUCUGGACUGUAACUG
rnacentral:rRNA from 1 species